GAUGAACGCUGGCGGCGUGCUUAACACAUGCAAGUCGAACGAAGCACUUUAACCUGAUUCUUCGGAUGAAGGUUUUUGUGACUGAGUGGCGGACGGGUGAGUAACGCGUGGGUAACCUGCCUCAUACAGGGGGAUAACAGUUAGAAAUGACUGCUAAUACCGCAUAAGACCACAGAGCCGCAUGGCUCGGUGGGAAAAACUCCGGUGGUAUGAGAUGGACCCGCGUCUGAUUAGGUAGUUGGUGGGGUAACGGCCUACCAAGCCAACGAUCAGUAGCCGACAUGAGAGGGUGACCGGCCACAGUGGGACUGAGACACGGCCCAAACUCCUACGGGAGGCAGCAGUGGGGAAUAUUGCACAAUGGGGGAAACCCUGAUGCAGCGACGCCGCGUGAGCGAAGAAGUAUUUCGGUAUGUAAAGCUCUAUCAGCAGGGAAGAAAAUGACGGUACCUGACUAAGAAGCACCGGCUAAAUACGUG
rnacentral:rRNA from 1 species